UAUUUCUGUCUUUAAUGGCGUCUCCAAGACCCAUUGCAUCAAAAUGGAUUUCAGCAUCCAACGCCCAUGUCAUGUAGUUCUUGCCCGAAAUUUCAAGGGCAAGAAACUUUCUUUUCAUAAAGUCAGACAUAAUUAAAACAAAAUUAGGAGGAGAAAAAAUACCUUAAUUUUCUCAAAGAGAUUCUUGAGAUAGUAGAGCUUCGUGCUGAUAACGUGUUAC
rnacentral:lncRNA from 1 species